GAUGCACACGAGGAAGAGGAAGGGAUCCUCGCAAGCUUUGAAAAGCGCCGUCAAGUCAAAUAAAUGCCCUACAACACCAACCCAGGACUGAGAUGUGGAUGCUGGAAUGACGGUGGUGGUGGUGGCCUUCAGUGUUCCCCAGGUUUUGUUCGGAGCACCGGCACGCCCUCUCUCUUGAAGUCCGCUCUCCGCACAGUGGUUAGACGGGAAAAUCCGGAGCUGUCCAAUGUCUUGGGUAACGUACAAGCAUCGCCUGAUGUCUGACGCCAGAACACCACGUAAAGUCAAGCAGAGGGAAGUGAAUGCGCCCUAGGCCCCUGCAGGCCACCAAGAAGAGCUAGAGGGAGUUGGUGCAAUCCUAGAGAUGCCGGCAGGUGCACCAAUCUGUGGCACACGUACGCUCUCCAAUGGAAAACAACUGAAGACCACACCAAGUUUGUAUUAAAAAAGUACUGUUAUUAGUUUUUACCAACCUCCAACCAUUAUACAAAAUUUUAAAAAAUACACAAACACACACACACACUCACAGCCAUAGAGGUUAUCCCAAAAGAUCAACCCAGAAUCUUUCAGAAUAUGACAGAUGCAUUGAGAAGGCAGAUAAAUUGAUUCAAAUACCAAAGGUCUCUUUCCUAUGGAAUUUCAUUAGAUUAAAUAAGGUGUUCCCUCCUCACAGCCCUAUCCUUUUGAGCAAUGAUAUAAUCUAUUUAAAGUCCUUGAACUAUAACUUGUAUAAUUUUUAGUUUUCCCCCUUUGAAGGGGCCUAAGAGAAAGGUUUGAGAAACCAGCUCUUGAGGUGGGGAGGGGUGAGGGGUAAGAGGGUCCUGUGCCUUUCAUUCAUCCUGGGAGCUUCUCAGGGUUGCAGCAUUUCCACCUGUGUUUAUUCUUGUACAUUUUCUCAUCUUUCUCCUGGGUUCCUAGGAUCUCGGAGAUUACCUAGUCCAAUCCUUUUAUUUCAGAAACAAAAAACCUGAGGCUCAGAGAGGCUAAGUCAAAUGCCUAGGGUCACACAUGGAAACUGUGGGAGCUGGAUCCCUGAGUCCCACUCCUUAAACUGGUUGCUACAUGACAUUCUAGAACCUCUCCCCACCAACCCCCUUUUUAAAGACAGGGUCUGGCUCUGUCACUCAGGCUGAAGUGCAGUGACGUGAUCUUGGCUCACUGCAACCUCCGCUUCCUGGGCUCAAGCCAUUCUCCCACCUCAGCCUCCCAAGUAGCUGGGACAACAGGCACAUGCCACUACGCCCAGUUAAUUUUUCUAAUUUUGUUUCGUAGAGACAAAUUUGCCAUGUUGCCCGAGCUGGUCUCAAAUUACUGGCCUCAAGCGAUACGCCUGCUUAGGCCUCCCAAAGUGCUGGGGUUACAGGCAGAAGCAAUUGCUCGGGGGUCAGACUUCCCUUCCCCCGCCCACAACCCCCAACCCGGCCUAGAUUCACAGGAACUGUAAUCACAGCUGACACAUUCGAUUCGGAAUCAGCACAGACAGCACUCUGAAAAUUGUCAAAUAGGGUCUCUGAAACUUGUAUGCCA